rnacentral:tRNA from 2 species
UGGGGUAUGGUGUAACUGGCAGCACGAGGGAUUCUGGUUCCCUUAGUCUAGGUUCGAAUCCUGGUACCCCAG